GGAGGUGACAGAAGAGAGUGAGCACACAUGGUACUUUCCUGCAUGAAUUCAUGCUCGAAGCCUUGCGUGCUUACUCUCUAUCUGUCACCCCGCC
rnacentral:pre_miRNA from 1 species